rnacentral:rRNA from 1 species
UAGGAGAAGGGAAGCAAUCUUUUAGUAAAGUGGCGAACGGGUGAGUAAAAAGUGAGUAACCUGCCCUUGACUCUGGGAUAAGCCUGGGAUACUGGGUCUAAUACCGGAUAUGACCUUCCAUCGCAUGGUGGUUGGUGGAAAGCUUUUGUGGUUUUGGAUGGACUCGCGGCCUAUCAGCUUGUUGGUGAGGUAAUGGCUUACCAAGGCGACGACGGGUAGCCGGCCUGAGAGGGUGACCGGCCACACUGGGACUGAGACACGGCCCAGACUCCUACGGGAGGCAGCAGUGGGGAAUAUUGCACAAUGGGCGCAAGCCUGAUGCAGCGACGCCGCGUGAGGGAUGACGGCCUUCGGGUUGUAAACCUCUUUCAGUAGGGAAGAAGCGAAAGUGACGGUACCUGCAGAAGAAGCGCCGGCUAA